UCCCUCCCCUCCCCCGCCCUCCUCGCUCCCCUCCCCCAAACCCACUUCCGCAGCUCGCGGCCUUGCCGCCGAAGAAGCAGCGGCGGCGGCAGCAGCAGGAGGCGGCGGCGGGGCGCCGAGAGGAUUACGCACCUGACGGGCCCGCCUCUGAGGGCUCCAGCGCGGGACGCUCACCGGCCACCGCCGCUCCGGACGCACUUCGCGGUGGCGGCGGCAAGGAAAGGACCGGCGACGGGGAACGGAACGCGAAUCGCCCCCCUCCCCUUCCUCCCUCCCUCCUCCGAUCCGCCGCCCGCCCUCUCGGCUUCCGUCCCCUCCCCCUCCCGCAAAGCCCCGGAUGGAGCCGCCGCCGACUCGCCGCCGCCUGGCUCCGGGGGAUGGUUUUGUCAGGCGGCCAGAGUCCCGGCGCCAGGCGCAGCCGCCCCCGCCCCCGCGGGGCGUCCCUGCCCUCGCUUCCCAGAACCGGGUCCCGAGUGGUCCGGGCCCUCCGCCUGCCUUCACCCGAAGCCCCGGGACGGGGGUCAUUCGUCUUCUUUGUUGCCACUGCCGCUGCCGGAACCGUUUGCGAGCUCCGGUGGCCCCCGCCCCCCCUCGCCUUCCCGGAGCCCGGGCCGGGGGCGGCACGUGGGCACCGGCCCCGGGAGGUGGAGGCGGUGCGCGCUUACCUGUCGCCAGUGCUGCUGCGGCGGGGGGUGUGGAGGACGCAGCGCUGGGCGGCUUCGGCCGUGCUGUCCUCCCCGCCGCCGCCUCUGCCUCUGGUUGCUGCUGCUGCUGCCGCCGCGGUCGGUGUCUCCGGCGCGGCGGCGGCGGCGGCGGCGGGGCUUUUCCUGUCCGGUUACGUUAAGGUCACAUGACCGAGGGAGCGGAGCGACUAGUGCAAAGAGGCUGAGAGCGGCUCCCGCCGGGGGGGAGAGGCGGCGAGAGCAGUGGCGGCAAGAGCCCCUCCGCCCCCCAGCCGCUCCCCUCCCCCCGCCCGCCUCCGCCUCCUGCUGCUCUGCCGCCGCCGCCGCCGCCGCCUGCAGCACUCGCUAG
rnacentral:lncRNA from 1 species